CUCAAAUCCUAUCGUACGCAACUGAGCUGAUAAAUUAGGGAGAUUAUUAGGAACAAGCUGUUGCAAGGACUGUUUCUUGAUAAACGCGCCCGGUUUCUCUAGCACUUAGUUUAGCCACGUCUUAAGCUGUGAUCGUAAUGAACCGCAGCCGUAUUACCACUCCCUAAGGAAUGUUUUGUCGGAAUUAGAAAAGUAUCGUUAUCGUGGAGGAAGGAAAACUGUACCACGCAGAACAUAAUUACGAUCCUUGUUACUACAAUUGUAAUAACAAGCAACCAAUAACAGAAUUAUUACCGAACGUCUCCAUUCGUUCCACCCAAUCGAGCUGAUCGAUGGUCGAGAGGAAAAUAACUGUCAGGAAGAGACUGAACUACAAAAACAAGUCUGCCAUCGCACAAGGCUUCUUCCGGGAGAUUUUCCCGGUACAGAUAGAACCGGAAUAAGGGUCGAGACUCGAAUUCAAAGAAUCGGACCAUAGCACACCUAUGCGGAGGGAACACAUCGAGGAACUUUUAUCCGAAGUCGGUGAAGGCUUUGAGGGAAGUCCGUUGAAGCGAUCGAAGAUGGCCUAAUCACGCGGACCGGGUCUGCGAGCUCGACGAGUUGUUCGCGGCAAUAUUAACUUUGAUAUUGGAUGGCGUUAAGAAGAAACACAGCCAAUAACUUCUGCCCCAGAAUCUACACCCUUUCCACCCUCACCCUCUAGUGCCGGUUCCUUCUCGCACACCAUCAAACACUCGACACUUCGCACGCUCUUCAAUAAUCGCCGCGACACAUUACAAUAAAACCGAUUCUCUCUUUGCUUCCGUACACACACACAUACGCGAGCGCACAGAUAUAUAUACACAUACGUGAGCAAGUGUGUAUGGAGGAACCGAUAUUGAACUGGUGUUCCUCAGCCAUAUUGCCGGAGCCACGUCGCCAUUUCGACCAUCGUUUCGUCUUCAAUCCUCCAAGUCCGCCGGCUUUUACCGAUUCACCGGUUGUGUGUUCUUUUAAUUUCAGCCCCGCGAUCCUCCUCAUCGAUCCGCCAGCGGAUUUUACGUCGCACGCUCCAACGGAGAGACGAUCUCGCGAACCCCAUUUGCAUAUUUUAUUUCGCGCCUGAUCGCGUUCGCUUUGUCUCUCGAUCGACGAACCGAAACGUUUUUAUUUGAACUAAUUCUUCCUACGAUUGCCCGUCGCGUUUGCCUAUGAUAGCUUACGGGAUUGUUAUUCAGGGGUUUAGUUGUUUGGACAGGCUGAAUUCCCUGUUCGAGGGGAGUGGAAAUUAAAAAUUCAUGAAUUAAAUGAUCGA